rnacentral:lncRNA from 1 species
CCUUAAUUCCAAACAAAAAUAAAUACAACCCAAGUCCACCAUAAAAGCCCAAAAUCAAAACCUAAAUCAAUAAAAACCAAAUCCAACCCAAGUCCACCAUAAAAGCCCAAAACCAAAGCCUAAAUCUGUAAGAACCCAAAUCCAAUCAAGUCCACCAUAAAAACUCAAAACCAAAAUCUAAACCUAUAAGAACCCAAAUCCAAUCAAGUCCAUCAUAAAAACCCAAAACCAAAAUCUAAACCAAUAAGAACCCAAAUCGAAUUAAGUCCAUCAUAAAAGUCCAAAACCAAAACCUAAACCCAUAAAACCCAAAUCCAAUUAAGUCCACCAUAAAAGCCCAAAACCAAACCCUAAGCCAAUAAGAAUCCAAAUCCAAUCAAGUCCACUAUAAAAGCCCAAAACCAAAAUCUAAACCAAUAAAAACCCAAAUCCAAUCUAGUCCACUAUAAAAGCUCAAAACCUACAAAAUUUAAAUCCAAACCCAAAUCCAAACACAAACUCAAAUCUAAUCCGAGCCACGAAUAAAACGCAAACCCACUUCCAACUUCAACUCAUGAACCAAAGUUCAUGAACCAAAUCUCAUGAACCUUGAACCAAAUUCACGGUCCAAAUCUCAUAAACCAUACAACAAGUUCAUGACUCAAAUCGCAUGAACCAUGUACCAAGUUCAUGAAUCACAAACCAAACCUCAUGAACUAUACACCAAGUUCAUGAACCAUAAACCAAAUCCCAUAAACCAUACACCAAAUUAAUGAACCAUACCCAAGUUCAUAAACCAAAUCUCAUGAACCAUAAACUAUAUCUCAUAAACCAUACCCAAGUUCAUGAACCAAAUCUCAUGAAC